rnacentral:sRNA from 1 species
GGUGCCCAGGAGGCGCCCGGGUGAGGCACGGGUGCGCAAGCGGGAGUUCCGGCUGGAGGCCCGUGCUCUGGGCCGGCGCCUUCACCAUGGCCUCGGCAGAGCUGGACUACACCAUCGAGAUCCCGGAUCAGCCCUGCUGGAGCCAGACUGCUCGAGCUGCUCUUUGAUUAUGAGAUAGAGAAGGAGCCCCUGCUCUUCCAUGUCUUCAGCAACGGUGGCGUCAUGCUGUACCGCUACGUGCUGGAGCUCCUGCAGACCCGUCGCUUCUGCCACCUGCGUGUGGUGGGCACCAUCUUUGACAGCGCUCCUGGUGACAGCAACCUGGCAGGGGCUCUGCGGGCCCUGGCAGCCAUCCUGGAGCGCCGGGCUGCCAUGCUGCGCCUGUUGCUGCUGGUGGCCUUUGCCCUGGUGGUUGUCCUGUUCCACGUCCUGCUUGCUCCCAUUACAGCCCUCUUCCACACCCACUUCUAUGACAGGCUACAGGACGCAGGCUCUCGCUGGCCCGAGCUCUACCUCUACUCGAGGGCUGAUGAAGUAGUCCUGGCCAGAGACGUAGAACGCAUGGUGGAGGCACGCCUGGCACGCCGGGUCCUGGCGCGUUCUGUGGACUUCGUGUCAUCUGCACACGUCAGCCACCUCCGUGACUACCCUACUUACUACACAAGCCUCUGUGUCGACUUCAUGCGCAACUGCGUCCGCUGCUGAGGCCAUUGCUCCACCUCACCUCUGCUCCAGAAAUAAAUGCCUGACGCCUCCCCACAACUUGCAUCUGUGGGGCACUCUUCUCGUUCAACUCUCUGUAGCCCUUUGGGACUUUGUGGUCCCUUAAGUAGAAAAUUCCUAUGGGCCUGUCUCCUGGGGGCCUCCGUCUGCUGGUGGUCUGCUUACCACAGAAUCCUAAGGGGCAGGAGUGCCUGGGCAUGUGUUUGUGGGAGCCUUGCAGUCAGUUGUGUUUGGACAAGUGCAACAGUCAGGCUGCCGAUUGCUGUGGCAUGCAGGCUGUAGAGGUUGACAAAGGGAGGGUGUGUUGAGGGUGAGCCCUAGUUGAUUUUUUAAAAUUUAAACUGUGGUAAGAACAUUUAACAUGAGACCUACUCUCUUUUUUUCUUUACUUAUUUAUUUAUCUAUUUAUUUCGAGACAGGGUCUCACUCUGUCGCCUAGGCUGGGGUGCAAUGGUGCAAUCAUGGCUCACUGCAGCCUCAACCUCCCAGGCUCAAGUGAUCCUCCCACCUCAGCCUCCCAAAGUGCUAGGAUUACAGGCGUGAGUCACCGUGCCUGGCCAAGAUCACCUAACAAAAUUGUAAGUGUGUACGAUACUUAAAAUUUAAGAGAUUAUGUGCACGGCAGACCUCUAGAACAGAAUAGUCUUGCAUCUUGCAUAAUUCAGAACUUCAUCAUCUUGCAUAACUGAAACUUUGUGCCUGUUACCAGAGUUGAGUUUUGAUUCCUUGAAUGGAAGGUGACCUUUGUGGGGAGAUGCCAGAGGGAAGGUAUCUCGGUCAGGGGUAGCGUCAGGCUGCGGGUAGGGGCUGUGAUCUUUGCUCCAGCAGGGCGAAGCCCUACAGUGUAAAGUAUCAUUCACAUGGCUCCCCCUUGGCAGUUCACUCAGAGAGGCUCCUCUGGCCCCACUGCCUGGGAGUCUGAGGUAGAAGCCAGAUGAGGAGCUGAGGUUAGGGGCCUGCCUGGCUCUACCACACUUUGCUAGGAAGCCGCUGGAUCCGGGAAAGUUGCAAGCUGAAAGUUGCCAGAGAGAGUAGGGAGCAGGAAGGCAGCAGCAUUGUAACAGGAGCUGGGAUGAGCUAACUCCCAAGCCGUAAAGACCAGAACCAGGGUAAGGGGAUUUGGGCUGAAAUAGCAAACUCCUUCAUCCCCUGGAAGAGAGACCCACUUAGAUACUCUCUAGGCAGAAGAGGUGAAUUCAGCCUGAUAGUUCAGUAUCAUUUAUCAUUCUAGAAGUCACUACUGCACAAUGUUGGCAUACAGUAGGUAUUCAAUAAAUAUUUGAUUGAAUGAG